ACGGGAGGCAGCAGUGGGGAAUAUUGCGCAAUGGGGGCAACCCUGACGCAGCAACGCCGCGUGAAGGAUGAAGGUUUUCGGAUUGUAAACUUCUUUUAUUAAGGACGAACAAUGACGGUACUUAAUGAAUAAGCUCCGGCUAACUACGUGCCAGCAGCCGCGGUAAUACGUAGGGAGCAAGCGUUAUCCGGAUUUACUGGGUGUAAAGGGUGCGUAGGCGGCUUGGUAAGUCAGAUGUGAAAUGUAUGGGCUCAACUCAUGCACUGCAUUUGAAACUAUCGAGCUUGAGUGAAGUAGAGGUAGGCGGAAUUCCCUGUGUAGCGGUGAAAUGCGUAGAGAUAGGGAGGAACACCAGUGGCGAAGGCGGCCUACUGGGCUUUAACUGACGCUGAGGCACGAAAGCGUGGGUAGCAAACAGGAUUAGAUACCCUGGUA
rnacentral:rRNA from 2 species